rnacentral:rRNA from 1 species
GGGACACGUGGUAUCCUGUCUGAAUAUGGGGGGACCAUCCUCCAAGGCUAAAUACUCCUGACUGACCGAUAGUGAACCAGUACCGUGAGGGAAAGGCGAAAAGAACCCCGGCGAGGGGAGUGAAAAAGAACCUGAAACCGUGUACGUACAAGCAGUGGGAGCACGCUUAGGCGUGUGACUGCGUACCUUUUGUAUAAUGGGUCAGCGACUUAUAUUCUGUAGCAAGGUUAACCGAAUAGGGGAGCCGAAGGGAAACCGAGUCUUAACUGGGCGUUAAGUUGCAGGGUAUAGACCCGAAACCCGGUGAUCUAGCCAUGGGCAGGUUGAAGGUUGGGUAACACUAACUGGAGGACCGAACCGACUAAUGUUGAAAAAUUAGCGGAUGACUUGUGGCUGGGGGUGAAAGGCCAAUCAAACCGGGAGAUAGCUGGUUCUCCCCGAAAGCUAUUUAGGUAGCGCCUCGUGAAUUCAUCUCCGGGGGUAGAGCACUGUUUCGGCAAGGGGGUCAUCCCGACUUACCAACCCGAUGCAAACUGCGAAUACCGGAGAAUGUUAUCACGGGAGACACACGGCGGGUGCUAACGUCCGUCGUGAAGAGGGAAACAACCCAGACCGCCAGCUAAGGUCCCAAAGUCAUGGUUAAGUGGGAAACGAUGUGGGAAGGCCCAGACAGCCAGGAUGUUGGCUUAGAAGCAGCCAUCAUUUAAAGAAAGCGUAAUAGCUCACUGGUCGAGUCGGCCUGCGCGGAAGAUGUAACGGGGCUAAACCAUGCACCGAAGCUGCGGCAGCGACGCUUAUGCGUUGUUGGGUAGGGGAGCGUUCUGUAAGCCUGUGAAGGUGUGCUGUGAGGCAUGCUGGAGGUAUCAGAAGUGCGAAUGCUGACAUAAGUAACGAUAAAGCGGGUGAAAAGCCCGCUCGCCGGAAGACCAAGGGUUCCUGUCCAACGUUAAUCGGGGCAGGGUGAGUCGACCCCUAAGGCGAGGCCGAAAGGCGUAGUCGAUGGGAAACAGGUUAAUAUUCCUGUACUUGGUGUUACUGCGAAGGGGGGACGGAGAAGGCUAUGUUGGCCGGGCGACGGUUGUCCCGGUUUAAGCGUGUAGGCUGGUUUUCCAGGCAAAUCCGGAAAAUCAAGGCUGAGGCGUGAUGACGAGGCACUACGGUGCUGAAGCAACAAAUGCCCUGCUUCCAGGAAAAGCCUCUAAGCAUCAGGUAACAUCAAAUCGUACCCCAAACCGACACAGGUGGUCAGGUAGAGAAUACCAAGGCGCUUGAGAGAACUCGGGUGAAGGAACUAGGCAAAAUGGUGCCGUAACUUCGGGAGAAGGCACGCUGAUAUGUAGGUGAAGCGACUUGCUCGUGGAGCUGAAAUCAGUCGAAGAUACCAGCUGGCUGCAACUGUUUAUUAAAAACACAGCACUGUGCAAACACGAAAGUGGACGUAUACGGUGUGACGCCUGCCCGGUGCCGGAAGGUUAAUUGAUGGGGUCAGCGCAAGCGAAGCUCUUGAUCGAAGCCCCGGUAAACGGCGGCCGUAACUAUAACGGUCCUAAGGUAGCGAAAUUCCUUGUCGGGUAAGUUCCGACCUGCACGAAUGGCGUAAUGAUGGCCAGGCUGUCUCCACCCGAGACUCAGUGAAAUUGAACUCGCUGUGAAGAUGCAGUGUACCCGCGGCAAGACGGAAAGACCCCGUGAACCUUUACUAUAGCUUGACACUGAACAUUGAGCCUUGAUGUGUAGGAUAGGUGGGAGGCUUAGAAGUGUGGACGCCAGUCUGCAUGGAGCCGACCUUGAAAUACCACCCUUUAAUGUUUGAUGUUCUAACGUUGACCCGUAAUCCGGGUUGCGGACAGUGUCUGGUGGGUAGUUUGACUGGGGCGGUCUCCUCCUAAAGAGUAACGGAGGAGCACGAAGGUUGGCUAAUCCUGGUCGGACAUCAGGAGGUUAGUGCAAUGGCAUAAGCCAGCUUGACUGCGAGCGUGACGGCGCGAGCAGGUGCGAAAGCAGGUCAUAGUGAUCCGGUGGUUCUGAAUGGAAGGGCCAUCGCUCAACGGAUAAAAGGUACUCCGGGGAUAACAGGCUGAUACCGCCCAAGAGUUCAUAUCGACGGCGGUGUUUGGCACCUCGAUGUCGGCUCAUCACAUCCUGGGGCUGAAGUAGGUCCCAAGGGUAUGGCUGUUCGCCAUUUAAAGUGGUACGCGAGCUGGGUUUAGAACGUCGUGAGACAGUUCGGUCCCUAUCUGCCGUGGGCGCUGGAGAACUGAGGGGGGCUGCUCCUAGUACGAGAGGACCGGAGUGGACGCAUCACUGGUGUUCGGGUUGUCAUGCCAAUGGCACUGCCCGGUAGCUAAAUGCGGAAGAGAUAAGUGCUGAAAGCAUCUAAGCACGAAACUUGCCCCGAGAUGAGUUCUCCCUGACUCCUUGAGAGUCCUGAAGGAACGUUGAAGACGACGACGUUGAUAGGCCGGGUGUGUAAGCGCAGCGAUGCGUUGAGCUAACCGGUACUAAUGAACCGUGAGG